UAUGAUAAAAAUAAUCCAGAAAAAGAUAGUGGGUGAGAGUAUAAAUAAAAUAAGAUUAGCCAUGAAUUGAUCAUUUUUGAAGCUGAGUAAUGGUUCCAUAACAAGAGCUUAUUAUAUUAUUCUCUUUAUUUUAUAUAGUUUGAUGUUUUCCAUAGUAAAAAGUUGAAAAUAAAAAGAUCUUUGACUUCUUAUGAAGUUAAAGGUAAAGGUUAUAAUUUACAUUUGAAUAAAGCUUUGCAUUUCGCAAACCUUUUCACAGACAGGAGAGGGAGAGGCAGGUAGGGGUCCAGGCUCACUUUUUAGGCAGAAAGAAGACUGCGUCUAACAUCUACCAUCUGCCAGGAAGUUUUCAAUCAUUCCACUUAAUCCCCAUAAGCUUUUCCAGGUGUUUGAAAUGCAAAGGUUGAAAUCUGCUCAUUUUGAAGAAUAGACAAUGGGGAGCGGGUAGAAGGUGCCACCAGCAGAGAAAGGGCUAGAUGCUGUUGUUAUUAUUAUUAUUUUUAGGCAUUCACAUACCUGGUCAUAUCCAGCAGCCUUAAAGGAGGCGGCAUUCCAUAUAAGCCAGACCUGUUCUUGGUUCUGUGCAGGUCCAGCAUCAAAAAUACCCACCGCCAAGCUGUCUGGAGCUCUUUAGGUGGAUCCAUUUCACCAUAAAGACAGAACUUUUCAGACACCUCCAGCUUCAUGCCUGGACCCCUUCCCCUGAAUGCCCCACAAGCCCCUCAACCCCACCACCCCCAGGAACAAACUCAGUAUUUCUCCACCUCAUCUGCAUCUCUUGUGUCCCCAGCUCUGUGAAUGUCCCACUGCCUGUCCAAUCACCCAUGCUGGAAACCUAGGAGUCCUCCCAGACAACUCUUUCACCCCAACCCAGUCAGUCCUCACUUCUCUCGCUUCCCUCUCAUCAUCUCCCCUCUCAGUGCCCUGACUUCAUCAGGUGAAAGUCAGGCCUUCAUCUUUUCUCACCAGGACUUCUCCUCCUCACUGCCUCCAGUCUCACCCUCUUCAAACCUGCCCUCCACACAGUUUCCUGAUACCCCUAGAAGUCAUGCACUGUCGAUACCUCUUCAGGGGCUACUCCUGCUGCAGGAUACAGCAGGGCCAACUCAGCAGCUCAGAUCUGAGCUUUGACUUCUGCUUUAGUGAUCUGCUGCCAAAACAUAUUGUAAACUGUAGUGGCUUAAUACAACAAUAACACUUCUUAUUUCUCAGUGUCUGUGGAUCAGAAAUUAAGGAAUGGCUUAGCUGGAUGGUUCUGGCCCAAGGUUUCUCAUGAGGUUUUAGUCCAUAUGUCAGCAAAGGCUGCAGUCGAAUGAAGGCUUGACUAGGGCUGGAGAAUUUGCUUCCCAGGUGGCUCACUGACAUGGCUGGAAGUUAGUCCUGGCUGUUGGCAUAAACCUGUUUCAUGCCAUGUAAAUCUCUCCAUAGGGUUGUUUGAGUGUCCUUAUGACAUGGUGGCCAGCUUCCUUCAGAGUGAGUGAUCCAAGAGAAAGCAAGAUGGAAUCCAUGUCUUUUAUGACCUAGUCUCAGAAGUCAUACAUGACCACCUCUACAGUAUUCUAUUGGUCACACAGGCCGCCCCCCCCCCCCAACCCCGAUGCAAUGUGAGAGGGAACUACACAGAGCAGGAAUACCAGAGGAAUGUGACCUUUAACCAGUCAGUCUGGAAUUUCCUGGUCAACACUAAUAAGGAAAUCUGCCUGAUAGACCUCCACUGUCCCCCAAGGAAACCACAAAGGGAAGAAGGAGAAGAUGGCUGAGACCUGUGGUCAGGACCAGUUUAAACUGGUUGGAGGCAACAUGGUGGUCCAACUUAAUCUGACAUAGACCCUGCAGCUCAUUAUAUGUUCAUCGUAAUAUAUUACCAUACUAAAUAACACACCUACUGUGGCCGUGACAGGAAACACUAGACCAAAUAAGGAAAGAAAAGAGGUGGUACCCUAUUUCCCAGACAGGCCUGCCCCUUUCUCUGAAUAACUAUGAAUAUUCCUCCCCUUCACUGCCUUGACCCCUUAUAACAAUAGCUUAAUUGCCCCAAGAGCUGAGAAAUUGAUUUGUGAACUUAGCUUCUGCUUCUCCAUUCUUUGGCCAUUGAAUAAAGCUUGUGCUGUUGAACGCUCA